rnacentral:rRNA from 1 species
UACCCUUGACAUGCCAGGAACUCUCCAGAGACGGAGAGGUGCCCGAAAGGGAGCCUGGACACAGGUGCUGCAUGGCUGUCGUCAGCUCGUGUCGUGAGAUGUUGGGUUAAGUCCCGCAACGAGCGCAACCCUUGCCAUUAGUUGCUACAUUUAGUUGGGCACUCUAAUGGGACUGCCGGUGACAAACCGGAGGAAGGUGGGGAUGACGUCAAGUCCUCAUGGCCCUUAUGGGUAGGGCUA